rnacentral:rRNA from 1 species
AACGAACGCUGGCGGCAGGCCUAACACAUGCAAGUCGAGCGAGAUCUUCGGGUCUAGCGGCGGACGGGUGAGUAACGCGGGGGAAUAUGCCUCUUGGUACGGAAUAGCCUCGGGAAACUGGGAGUAAUACCGUAUGUGCCCUUUGGGGGAAAGAUUUAUCGCCAAGAGAUUAGCCCGCGUUGGAUUAGGUAGUUGGUGGGGUAAUGGCCUACCAAGCCGACGAUCCAUAGCUGGUUUGAGAGGAUGAUCAGCCACACUGGGACUGAGACACGGCCCAGACUCCUACGGGAGGCAGCAGUGGGGAAUCUUAGACAAUGGGGGCAACCCUGAUCUAGCCAUGCCGCGUGAGUGAUGAAGGCCUUAGGGUUGUAAAGCUCUUUCAGCUGGGAAGAUAAUGACGGUACCAGCAGAAGAAGCCCCGGCUAACUCCGUG